rnacentral:rRNA from 1 species
AGCGUUGUUCGGAGUUACUGGGCGUAAAGGGUGUSYAGGCRGUUGUUUAAGUUUGGUGUGAAAUCUCCCGGCUCAACUGGGAGGGUGCGCCGAAUACUGAAUGACUAGAGUGCGGGAGAGGAAAGUGGAAUUCCUGGUGUAGCGGUGAAAUGCGUAGAUAUCAGGAGGAACACCGGUGGUGUAGACGGCUUUCUGGACCGUAACUGACGCUGAGACACGAAAGCGUGGGUAGCAAACAGGAUUAGAUACCCUGGUAGUCCACGCCCUAAACGAUGCAUAUUUGGUGUGRGCAGUUCAUUCUGUCCGUGCCGGAGCUAACGCGUUAAAUAUGCCGCCUGGGGAGUACAGUCGCAAGGCUG